rnacentral:rRNA from 1 species
UCGCUACUACCGAUUGAAUGGCUUAGUGAGUUCUCUGGACUGUUGCACGUUGUUGGAAACUUCAGCGAGCUUUCGGGAAGGAGACCAAACUUGAUCAUUUAGAGGAAGUAA